GAGGGUUUGAUCCUGGCUCAGAGUGAACGCUGGCGGUAGGCCUAACACAUGCAAGUCGAACGGCAGCACAGGAGAGCUUGCUCUCUGGGUGGCGAGUGGCGGACGGGUGAGGAAUACAUCGGAAUCUACUUUUUCGUGGGGGAUAACGUAGGGAAACUUACGCUAAUACCGCAUACGACCUACGGGUGAAAGCAGGGGAUCUUCGGACCUUGCGCGAUUGAAUGAGCCGAUGUCGGAUUAGCUAGUUGGCGGGGUAAAGGCCCACCAAGGCGACGAUCCGUAGCUGGUCUGAGAGGAUGAUCAGCCACACUGGAACUGAGACACGGUCCAGACUCCUACGGGAGGCAGCAG
rnacentral:rRNA from 1 species